GAGUGUAUAGUUCAGUGGUAGAGUGCAUGCUUAGCAUGCAUGAGGUCCUGAGUUCAAUUCCCCAGCACCCCCA
rnacentral:tRNA from 1 species